AAACUUAAAGGAAUUGACGGGGGCCCGCACAAGCGGCGGAGCAUGCGGAUUAAUUCGAUGCAACGCGAAGAACCUUACCUGGGUUUGACAUAUACCGGAAACAUCUGGAGACAGGUGCCCCGCAAGGUCGGUAUACAGGUGGUGCAUGGCUGUCGUCAGCUCGUGUCGUGAGAUGUUGGGUUAAGUCCCGCAACGAGCGCAACCCUCGUUCUAUGUUGCCAGCGGUUCGGCCGGGAACUCAUAGAAGACUGCCGGGGUCAACUCGGAGGAAGGUGGGGAUGACGUCAAGUCAUCAUGCCCCUUAUGUCCAGGGCUUCACGCAUGCUACAAUGGCUGGUACAAAGGGCUGCAAUACCGCAAGGUGGAGCGAAUCCCAUAAAGCCAGUCUCAGUUCGGAUUGGGGUCUGCAACUCGACCCCAUGAAGUCGGAGUCGCUAGUAAUCGCAGAUCAGCAACGCUGCGGUGAAUACGUUCCCGGGCCUUGUACACACCGCCCGUCAAGUCAUGAAAGUCGGUAACACCCGAAGCCGGUGGCCUAACCCUUGUGGAGGGAGCCGUCGAAGGUGGGACCGGUAAUUAGGACUAAGUCGUAACAAGGUAGCCGUACCGGAAGGUGCGGCUGGAUCACCUCCUUUAUG
rnacentral:rRNA from 1 species